CUGACCUCCCGAGAUCCACCCACCUCGACCUCCCAAAGUGUUGGGAUUACAGGCGUGAGCCACUGAGCCCGACCCGAUCAGACUUUUUAAAAGUGUCUAUUGGCAUGUGGGUGGGUGGCUGGGUGUUCUGUCGACUUGAGCCACGUCCCUUACUCUGGGUCCGGCAGGGUCUAUACAAAGGGUUCUGCAAUGCGUAGUGGGGAGAACCCGGGCGGAGAGGCAGGGAUCUGUGGCGCUUGGCGUGGGCUCGCCCUCUCUCCUUGGGUGGCAGGGACGUGUCACUAGACCUCGCCUCUCCGGGUCUGACGGUCGGCUUAGGGUCCCUCAUGGCUUGGGCAUUUUCAGGACAGUCCCCCGCCCUCCUCCCGCCAGCCGCGAGUCUCAGCUGCGCGUCGCGCGUUCGUGGCACAGGUUUGGGGCGGGAGCCGGGAGGAGGCUCCGAGUCAAGUCAUCCUCGGAGGACCAACUACAUAAUCCUUGGUAAGAAAAGGAGGUGGCCCUGACAAGUGCAACUCGAGAAAUGCAAUGCUGUAGAGUCCAAAGGUGUCUGACUUGAACAAAAUGAUCCCACUGGGGGACAACGCAACAACAUAUACUCCAGGUAAGCACAGUGGAAAACAUAUGGGACUUAGAUUCAAACACACCUGAACCUGUAACUUAUGAGCCAGGUGACCUUGGGGGUAAGUCAAUUUAUUUUUCUAAUGGGGUUAAGUAAUGCCUACUCAAUUCUUUAAAAGAUUUUCAGUGUGAAUAAGACUGCAAAUGCUUACAAUAAUAGCACUAAGACUAAUAAUAGCUAACCGUUAAUUAUAUAAUGCUUACUAUAUGCUAGGCACUGGUAUUAAGGUCUUUACAUGAAGCACUCAAUAAAUAUUGGCUGCAGAGAAAUCUCACGGAAUUGACUAUACAACCUGCCCUAACUGACGAGAACGUUACCUAUUC